rnacentral:tRNA from 1 species
UGGUAAUUAGUUUAAAAAAAAACAAAUGAUUUCGACUCAUUAAAUUAUGUUCAUAUCAUAAUUACCAA